UGGGGAAUUUUGGACAAUUGGGCGAAAGCCUGAUCCAGCAAUGCCGCGUGUGUGAAGAAGGCCUUCGGGUUGUAAAGCACUUUUGUCCGGAAAGAAAUCCUUGGCUCUAAUACAGUCGGGGGAUGACGGUACCGGAAGAAUAAGCACCGGCUAACUACGUGCCAGCAGCCGCGGUAAUACGUAGGGUGCAAGCGUUAAUCGGAAUUACUGGGCGUAAAGCGUGCGCAGGCGGUUUGCUAAGACCGAUGUGAAAUCCCCGGGCUCAACCUGGGAACUGCAUUGGUGACUGGCAGGCUAGAGUAUGGCAGAGGGGGGUAGAAUUCCACGUGUAGCAGUGAAAUGCGUAGAGAUGUGGAGGAAUACCGAUGGCGAAGGCAGCCCCCUGGGCCAAGUACUGACGCUCAUGCACGAAAGCGUGGGGAGCAAAGC
rnacentral:rRNA from 1 species